UCAGUGGAAAACAAAAGGGAAAACAAAAGACUGCAAGAAAUCUUAAAGUAAUCCCCAGUACAAUGAGACGGAGAGAUAAGAUUGUGUACUUCAGUGCGGUUUGAAAUUGGUGGGGUAUUGGUAGGCACGACCUCCAGGAAGUUGAGGUCCAUGAAACGUAAUGAUUUCACGUGAAAUGUAAAAUCAUGUGACACUUUUCUAUCAAACGUUUUUACAUGCAAAUAUUGUUAUGACUUCAGUACUAAUGUGCUUUCUCUUCCAUUUCAGGAUCACAGAUAUAGAUAAUCACUUUACUGUCCUGAACCCGGUUGUAUCCAUAUUUAAUGUGGCAUUAAAACUUCAUUAAAUUCAAAAUAUUCCAUGCAAUAUUAAUUUCCGUUGUAUCAUUGCUUUAAGGUAACUCAUUACACCACACUUUUAUUUAACGACUCGUUAAAACACCUCAUAUGAUAUAUGGUUUCACUAUCGAAAGAGUGAUGGAAGCUCUCAAUUAUUAGAUAUGAAGUUUUUGUGAUUUAUCGGGAAUGAUAAAAAGGACGGUUUUUUGCAAAUAAGAAAUUGUAGAGUCCAAAUUUCGCUGUGAUUUGGUGCAUGCCAUUAAUAUCUAUUAAAGCGUAUCUAAAAGACUAAGAUACAAACGUUGUAAUGUUUUAAAGAAAAAAAUUGAAAAUUGAAAACGUUAUUUUUUAAAUAUUUGUUAAAUCUAUGGAUAAAAUCUUUAAAAAAAAAAGCAAACAAACAAGCAUGUCAAUUGGAAAAGAGAUAUAUCGACGAAAUAUAUUUUAAGAAUAUUUGUUAAUUUCAACAAAGUCUUCAACACCGUCUUCAGGAAUGAUGCAUAGAUUGUACAAAAUGCGGUCUAAAACAAUGGCUCUCACAAUCUCGUCAGGGUCAUGAAUUGUAACAUCAGUCAGUUAUCUAAAACCUUUCUUUAAACUGGUCAAUAUACUUCUUUCCACAACUUGUCUUCCUGACGACAUAACUCUUCAGAAUCUUCUUUGUUGACUAUUUAAUCUGCGAUUAAUUUUAAUGGAGUAAUAAGCCAGUCUUUAAGGGAAUACGCGCUGCAAUAAUAUAUUUAUUUGCAUUAAGAUAAUGACUUUGAUUUAUUAAUACUGAAGCAUCAUGGGCUGAAACAUAGCAGUCGAUAUAAGCAUUGCGAAUAAGCAUAUCAGCACCCACCGUUAUCUGUGAAGAAAGAGAGGCAAUUCAAGUUUUGCAUAUUAUAUGCUUAGCAUGCAAUACAGCAUAAUCAAGUUCCUGACAUUCUAUUUUUUUCUUUUGAUAUGUAAUUGUCAAACAUUACCUGAAGCUUCAUAGAGGGAAAAUACUUCCUGUUUAAGAAAUCUGUGUCUCUCCCCUUUUUAUGCAAGAUGAAAGUCGUAUUUCUGGCAGUCCACAUUUCAGCUGGAAAUCUUGAGCAAUAUGCUGUUGCUCGUUAAAAUCUGGCAAGCUAAUUAUCUUAAUCAAAUUAAUUUUAAACAAUUUUAGUAUUACAUCUAACGACAUUGGCGCAUUUACCGAGUCAGUUCACCAAAACUGUCUUCUAAAUGGAAAAUAGCGGAUACGCAUUGUCAUAUAUGGUAACUUACAGUGAUGUACCACCGUUUUCAAAAGCAUGGGAGGGACAACUUUGAAAAAGGAGUGGGCUUACCAAAUUUUCCUGACAAGAGAAAAGACAUGAAAAGAAAUUAUUCAUAUAGAAAAAGGUCUAAAGUUAGAUCUAGUAACGUCGGGGGAUGGGCAAAAUAGCCCCUCCCCCUGUUGCCACGUCCCCAGCUUAUACAUGUAGAGUUUACCAAAAUCCCCAAUAUCUUGUUUCUUUUAUGAAUUCGCUCUAUUGACAGUGUCCACAGCCCAUAGUAAAUGCGCUGAUUCUUUAAAACUUUUGAGAUGUGGAUGAACGCAUUUUAAAAGUUGUAACGUAACUAUUGGUACUUUUGGCAGCUUUUUAUUCAUGUGUCAAUUCAAUCUUUUUACAACAGCGUGAACAGUUGACAUCGUUAUGUUGAAAAGAUGCCCAUUUUCCCUCAUGGGUUGUUACAGGAUAGCUUAGAUAUACCAAAACUUGUUUGCUUGGAACAACAUCUGCAGAACCACCUCCGUGCUGUGACGAAAGCAUUCGCCUAUCGUCAAUUGAUACAAUGUCGUAGAACAUUUCUUUACUUAUUCUAAAGUGAAAUCUAAAAUCAGAUUGACAAAUGGCAGAAUAUGUUGUCAUCAUCUAAAUCCUUCCGAUUAUUUGUUGUCGAUGAAGCCCAUACCGUUGUUCGUUGGUAGGUAUAAUUAUUUAUUUACAGAAAACAAAUUUCAAUAUUGUGAUAUUAUUUCCAAAUAAAAAGAAAUAUUUUA